rnacentral:rRNA from 1 species
GAUGAACGCUGGCGGCGUGCCUAAUACAUGCAAGUCGAGCGAACAGAUGAGGAGCUUGCUCCUCUGACGUUAGCGGCGGACGGGUGAGUAACACGUGGAUAACCUACCUAUAAGACUGGGAUAACUUCGGGAAACCGGAGCUAAUACCGGAUAAUAUAUUGAACCGCAUGGUUCAAUAGUGAAAGACGGUUUUGCUGUCACUUAUAGAUGGAUCCGCGCCGCAUUAGCUAGUUGGUAAGGUAACGGCUUACCAAGGCAACGAUGCGUAGCCGACCUGAGAGGGGUGUCCGCCACACUGGGAACGAGACACGGGCCCGACCCCCAAGGGGGGCAGCAGGUGGGAAUAUUUGCCAAUGGGCGCAAGCCUGAACGAGCCAUCCCGCGUGGGUGAAGAAGGUCUUCGGGUUGUAAAACCCUUUUUUUGGGGAAGAAAAAAAGUAGUAAAAAACUUUGCCCUUCUGGCGGUACCCAAAGAAAAAACCCCGGCUAAAUUCGUG